rnacentral:miRNA from 13 species
CUCGGCGUUUCCGGCACGGCCA